rnacentral:rRNA from 1 species
CUAACACAUGCAAGUCGAACGGCAGCACAGAGGAGCUUGCUCCUUGGGUGGCGAGUGGCGGACGGGUGAGGAAUACGUCGGAAUCUGCCUAUUUGUGGGGGAUAACGUAGGGAAACUUACGCUAAUACCGCAUACGACCUACGGGUGAAAGCGGAGGACCUUCGGGCUUCGCGCAGAUAGAUGAGCCGACGUCGGAUUAGCUAGUUGGCGGGGUAAAGGCCCACCAAGGCGACGAUCCGUAGCUGGUCUGAGAGGAUGAUCAGCCACACUGGAACUGAGACACGGUCCAGACUCCUACGGGAGGCAGCAGUGGGGAAUAUUGGACAAUGGGCGCAAGCCUGAUCCAGCCAUGCCGCGUGUGUGAAGAAGGCCUUCGGGUUGUAAAGCACUUUUGUCCGGAAAGAAAAGCUUCGGGUUAAUACCCCGAGGUCAUGACGGUACCGGAAGAAUAAGCACCGGCUAACUUCGUGCCAGCAGCCGCGGUAAUACGAAGGGUGCAAGCGUUACUCGGAAUUACUGGGCGUAAAGCGUGCGUAGGUGGUUUGUUAAGUCUGAUGUGAAAGCCCUGGGCUCAACCUGGGAAUGGCAUUGGAAACUGGCUUACUAGAGUGCGGUAGAGGGUAGUGGAAUUCCCGGUGUA